rnacentral:tRNA from 1 species
GAGAGUAUAGCUCAGUUGGUUUAGAGCAUUACCUUGACAGGGUAGGGGUCGGGGGUUCGAAUCCCUCUACUCUCA